rnacentral:rRNA from 1 species
CCAGACUCCUACGGGAGGCAGCAGUGGGGAAUAUUGGACAAUGGGGGCAACCCUGAUCCAGCAAUUCUGUGUGCACGAUGAAGGUCUUCGGAUUGUAAAGUGCUUUCAGCAGGGAAGAAAAAAAUGACGGUACCUGCAGAAGAAGCGACGGCUAAAUACGUGCCAGCAGCCGCGGUAAUACGUAUGUCGCGAGCGUUAUCCGGAAUUAUUGGGCAUAAAGGGCAUCUAGGCGGCCGGAUAAGUCUGGGGUGAAAACUUGCGGCUCAACCGCAAGCCUGCCCUGGAAACUAUGCGGCUAGAGUACUGGAGAGGUGGACGGAACUGCACGAGUAGAGGUGAAAUUCGUAGAUAUGUGCAGGAAUGCCGAUGAUGAAGAUAGUUCACUGGACGGUAACUGACGCUGAAGUGCGAAAGCUAGGGGAGCAAACAGGAUUAGAUACCCUGGUAGUCCUAGCUGUAAACGAUGAUUACUGGGUGUGGGCAUGAAGAGUGUCCGUGCCGAAGCUAAUGCGAUAAGUAAUCCGCCUGGGGAGCACGGCCGCAAGGCUGAAACUCAAAGGAAUUGACGGGGGCCCGCACAAGAUGGGC